CCUACGGGUGGCAGCAGUGGGGAAUAUUGGGCAAUGGGCGCAAGCCUGACCCAGCAACGCCGCGUGAAGGAAGAAGGCUUUCGGGUUGUAAACUUCUUUUCUGAGGGACGAAGAAAGUGACGGUACCUCAGGAAUACGACACGGCUAACUACGUGCCAGCAGCCCCGGUAAUACGUAGGUGGCAAGAGUUAUCCGGAUUUAUUGGGAGUAAAGGGCGUGUAGGCGGGAUAGCAAGGCAGAUGUGAAAACUCAGGGCUCAACCCUGAGCCUGCAGUUGAAACUGGGUGUCUUGAGUGCUGGAGAGGCAAUCGGAAUGCCGGGUGUAGCGGUGAAAUGCGUAGAUAUGCCGAGGAACACCAGUGGCGAAGGCGGAUUGCUGGACAGUAACUGACGCUGAGGCGCGAAAGCGUGGGGAGCGAACAGGAUUAGAUACCCGAGUAGUC
rnacentral:rRNA from 1 species